rnacentral:rRNA from 1 species
AGAGUUUGAUCCUGGCUCAGGACGAACGCUGGCGGCGUGCUUAACACAUGCAAGUCGAACGGAAAAGGCCCUGCUUGCAGGGUGCUCGAGUGGCGAACGGGUGAGUAACACGUGGGUGAUCUGCCCUGCACUUCGGGAUAAGCUUGGGAAACUGGGUCUAAUACCGGAUAGGACUACGGCAUGCAUGUGCUGUGGUGGAAAGUUUGUAACGGUGUGGGAUGGGCCCGCGGCCUAUCAGCUUGUUGGUGGGGUGAUGGCCUACCAAGGCGACGACGGGUAGCCGGCCUGAGAGGGCGGGCGGCCACACUGGGACUGAGACACGGCCCAGACUCCUACGGGAGGCAGCAGUGGGGAAUAUUGCGCAAUGGGCGGAAGCCUGACGCAGCGACGCCGCGUGGGGGAUGAAGGCCUUCGGGUUGUAAACCUCUUUCAGCAGGGGCGAAGCGAGAGUGACGGUACCUGCAGAAGAAGCGCCGGCUAACUACGUGCCAGCAGCCGCGGUAAUACGUAGGGUGCGAGCGUUGUCCGGAAUUACUGGGCGUAAAGAGCUCGUAGGUGGUUUGUCGCGUUGUUCGUGAAAUUCCCUGGCUUAACUGGGGGCGUGCGGGCGAUACGGGCAGACUGGAGUACUGCAGGGGAGACUGGAAUUCCUGGUGUAGCGGUGGAAUGCGCAGAUAUCAGGAGGAACACCGGUGGCGAAGGCGGGUCUCUGGGCAGUAACUGACGCUGAGGAGCGAAAGCGUGGGGAGCGAACAGGAUUAGAUACCCCAGUAGUCC